rnacentral:misc_RNA from 1 species
GCUGUUUUGGAUGAAUUUAAAAGUGAAAUUCAGGAAGGAUCCAAUAGGGAAAGUACUUAUGGCACAUAUGAUUCUUUACAAUUUGAAGAAAACUACAUUGAAACAAAAACAUUUGAAGAAAACCAAAAAACUGAAAAAGAUAUUCCAGUCCUGAGAUUAACUGUCCGCCAUAUUUUUUGGAGGCCUCGACUUUUGCGCCCUCAACAGUAUUAGAGUACGUGCCUAAAUAAAAAAGAUAUAUUUUUUGUAUUCUCUAAAAGAUAGAUAUUAAUAUGUAAUAGUUAUUUAUGAUAUAAGUGUUAAAAGUACACGGUUAAGGCACGCAUGUGAAAGUUUGCAGAAUGAGCGAAGCGAGUUCUGCAAUUCACAUGAGCGCCUUAAAAAUGUACUUUUUAACACGCAUAUCAUACAAUAUUUUUUCUACAAACUUAAUUACAGGACAAUAUCUACAAAAACUUUUACUUGAACUUGACUGACAUUUCCAUUUUUAUUUCCAUUUUUAUACGAACUGCAGUGCCUUAAAAAUUUUAAAGCACUAGUGCCUUAAAGUAGCAUUUUUAACGCUCGUAUGGAGUGCUAAAAAUUGCAUUUUUAACAAGGUUGUAGAAAAAAAGUUUUGUUCUUUUUUAAUAAAGGUUCUGAGAAAAAAUUGAUUAUUUUUGGUCUUCUAAAGUGUACUAGUACCUUAAGCAAUUUAGCGACUCAAGUAUUUUGAAAAGACAUUGAGAGUGCACACUAGAGAGAAGGUGUGAAAUUUGCUAUAAGCAGUUUUUUCGCAAAUGUUUUUUGAAACUACAUUAUGGGGACGCAUACUGGGUAAAAACCUUACAAGUUAGUAAAUAGUAAGAUACACUGCGUGCCAAAAUUAACGCAUAAUGUUAAAAUUAUGAUUUCAGUUGCAAUGAAGAAAAUGUGUUUGUUCUUUUACGCUUUAAGGUUGCUGUCAGAACAUCUGAAAUAAAAAGCUUUUCUUUUUUUACAAAAAAUGUAUUGAAAUAAACAAUAUAACAUCAUAAAUCUAAACAUCUAAACAAACAUCAUCAACAAAUGACGGAAUUGAAAUUUUUAAAGAAAGUAGCUCUAGUUCUGUCUACAGGGUGAUUGAUUA